rnacentral:lncRNA from 1 species
UACUCACUUAGUUGUUGUUACUUGCAAGAUUACUUUUAAAAUCACAAAAGAAGACUCAAAAACAAAUCAAAACAAAGGAAAACAACAAAUUGGGACUCUAAUGCCGGACUCUAAUGUAACUCCUAAACGGGUAACACCAAUUUAAACACACAAGAAAAGUUUUGNCAAGAGUUGAAAGAGCACCAAGGACUCUUCCAAGACAACUUGGACUUUGAAUGGCCUUUUACAAAGAAGAAACUAGCAAAGCAAACCUAUUACAAUUCAAAACAAAAUAAUCAAAACAAACUGAAGUGUUGCUUCCACGGUUUUGUCUAAAUUUCCUUGAGCUGGACANCUUUUGAACACUUUGGAGUCUCCUUGCUUUUGGGUUCAACUCUGCCUUUCGUGGUUNUGCUGCUGCAGCUUAAAAGAUGCUCCUAUGAUUUUCAAAACUGCACAAAUAAAGUACACCAAAUUUAGUAUACAGUCAACAGUAUUACUGUGAAGCUGCACAACAAAAUUAAGAAUACUCCCUUUGGUCUCGGCUUGGUGCAAUCAUGGGCUAUUUCCCAGCAAAAUAUGAAGUCUGCAGUUAUGUGCUGAUAAGGGAAAUGCAAUUUCUAGCUGUGAAUCCUGCUGCAGGUGUUGCUGGAACAAACACUACUGCUGUGAUUUCUGCUGUUUAAAACCUUGCACCAUGUUAUUUUCAAGCUUCACGGGUAGUAUUUGCUACUACUGGACCUUGCCUCUGUACUGUUUUUUUUUAUUUCCACCUUUCAAGCUAUUACAAAUAGCCGUAGAACAUCUUUCAGAUCAAAUGAAGACAGCUGCAACGUAGCAACAAUAGCAAAUACACAAGCACUAACAAUUGUAAUUGGUGAAUAAUCAAGGUAAUUAAAAAUCAGAAUUGGAUUGCAGCUUUUGGAUGCUCUCAAAGGAAAGAGCUGAUUAAAAUCAACUAUCAAUGCUCACAGCUGCUGGGUGGAGGUGUGGUAAAGUUGCUCUACCAUAUAUUACAGAAACAGCUACAAAAGAUGCAGAAUAAAUCUGCUACUGAUGCACCAGAAUUUCUGCAUUUCGCACACCACUUUGCUGCACCAGAAAACACUUCAGCUUGAUCUUUCCGUGUCCCAAUCCACGUCCUAGUAUGCUACCAGUGUUAGGAGACAACCUUUACUAGUUCCUGCAUCCAUUUAGAGCUCACACAGACCAACCAAAAGCAAUUAUAACACCAGAAUAAUCACCCUGCUGCUGCCAGAAUUUGUUAAACCAGAUUGCACAACUAUACUUUCAACAAACAGCUGGCGUGCAGAAUUUCAAACAAUUAAAAGCAAGAAAUUAAACGGCUAUCAAUGCAGGGCGGCACUCAAAAGGAUCUUAAGAUUGGUUCUAGAGUGGAUUUAGAAAGCAAUAAACUCAUAUAAGUUGCAGAAACACUCAAUUCGAACUCAAUUGUAAAUAGGCAAAAGUGUUUGAUGUAAUGCCUAAGAGAAAUCUGUGAUGCACCAGUUUUGGCACUUAACUUGGCACGGUUCAAACAGCUUUUUGUUUUCUCUACAGUCCUUUUCUUUUUAUUUUGAGAGAUACACUUCUUUUUAACAAUUGAACCAAGCUUUUGCUACCAAUUUAAGAUAUAAUUUGGUGCUUUCAUCUCAUGAAACAAUCAAAACCAGAAUUCUGCAACUUAUUUGAAGAAAAAGUGUUGAAAAUUGGUGGUUGGAUUGGCAAAUUUGCACAGAUCAAUUUAGACACUCAAAAUUAUGAUUGGAGCAACUUUGUUUCUCCAAUUAGACUUGUUUCAACAGCCAGCAGAGGCUAAAAACAUGUAAAUCGAAAUUUGGCUAUAUCAGUUGCUCUUAAUCACCAAAAAGAGGUCACAUUACCAACCAAAUCUCAACAAAGGAUUCAAAUGUUUUUUUUUUUUUUUUGGAUCACUAAUAUGACGAUUUGAGCAAAUUUAUUUUGCCAAAUAUGACAGAUGCAAAGGGCCAGCAAAGCCUAAAAACUGUCAGAUCAAAAUUUCACUAUAUAAGUUGCUCAUCUUAUUCAAAAUUGAUCCAUACACUAACCAAAAUUUCAGCAGAAUAUUCAAACUGUUAUGAAACACUUUUUGGUGACUUAAAACAUCAAAUUGCACUUGAACAAGACUCUAUAGAAGCAUUAAGAUGUCCAGAACUGAUUUACUACUGCUGAACAGAUUCAAAACUAAAAAUAGACUCAAACAAAUCAGAUGCAGUCUCGGCCAAACUGCAUAUGCAAAGGAAUUCUGAUUUCUGCAGUGUGGUGCAUCAUGAAUGAUUGUCUUAGACAAAUCACUAUUCAUAUGGCAUGCCUAUCACACUAUCGCAACAAUUCAACACAUCCAGAAUUCGAUUUUCCACACGGUACAAAUUAAAUGAAACUGAAACCAGAUUUUGAGACAGAUUCCACUUCUGCAUUAAUCGGUACUGCACUUUGAUGGACUCAGGCUACACUUGAGCUCUUUUGAAUCAU